GACGAACGCUGGCGGCGUGCUUAACACAUGCAAGUCGAACGGAAAGGCCUGUCUCUUGUGGGGUGCUCGAGUGGCGAUCGUGUGAGUAACACGUGUGUAACCUGCCCUGUGCGUGGUGAGAUCUGUAGGAAACUGGGGCUAAUACCGGAUAGGAGCUGUGGUGGCAUGGUGGGGGUUGGAAAGUUUCGGCGUUUGUUUGUGGACUCGUGGCUUAUCAGCUUGUUGGUGGGGUAGUGGCUUACGAAGGCUUUGACGGGUAGCCGGCCUGAGAGGGUGACCGGCCACAUUGGGACUGAGAGACCACCCAGAAUCCACACGGAGGCAGCAGUGGGGAAUAUUGCACAAUGGGCGGAAGCCUGAUGCAGCAGAGCCGCGAGCGGGAUGACGGCCUUCGGGUUAUAACAAAAAAUCGCCUGUGACGAAGCGUGAGUGACGGUAAUGGGUAAAGAAGCACCGGCUAACUACGUG
rnacentral:rRNA from 1 species